CAAGACUUUCCCCGAGAGGAAGGGGAUGUGGGGAGGCUCCCUUCGGAAGCAAAAGGUCCCAGCGAACAGCGAGGGCACAAAAGGGUCCCCCGCGCGGCGCUCCGCACCCGCUCUUGGUUCCCCGGGCGGUUCCCGGGGCGAGGGGUGGGGUAGAAAGUGUGAAAAGCCCCGCCGGCGCCGGAAAGCGCGUCCGGGGGCCUCUGCAACGGCGCCCGGCCCUUCGGGACCUGCGAGCUCUGAGGGGCCCCGCGGGCCUCGCGGCGGACAGCGAAAGCGAGUCCCGAGGUCUUCCUUGUGUACACCCAGGAAGCCAGGCUUCACCGAUGACAAAGGGAAGACCCCGUUUGCUCCCCUUGUUCAGCCUCACUCCAUUCCUCAGGAAGUGAUCCCACAGGGCAAGCUUUGCCCUAUUCCAGCUUCAUAACCAAGAAUGAUUGAAAACAGGAGAAAGAAUUGCUGUCAAAGAUUAUACAGUACAAUGGAGUUGUACAGUGGGGCUCAAGAAUAUAAAUGUUAGCAGGUACAUGAAUACUUCUGUGACUGUUGGCUAUUAGAAACAAGACUGUAAAUUUCUGCCUU
rnacentral:lncRNA from 1 species